CUACGGGAGGCUCCAGUGAGGAAUAUUGCACAAUGGGGGAACCCUGAUGCAGCAACGCCGCGUGGAGGAUGACGCAUUUCGGUGUGUAAACUCCUUUUAUAUGUCAAGAAAAUGACGGUAGCAUAUGAAUAAGCACCGGCUAACUCCGUGCCAGCAGCCGCGGUAAUACGGAGGGUGCAAGCGUUACUCGGAAUCACUGGGCGUAAAGGACGCGUAGGCGGGUUGGAAAGUCAGGUGUGAAAUCCUACAGCUUAACUGUAGAACUGCACUUGAAACUUCUAAUCUAGAGUAUGGGAGGGGGAGAUGGAAUUAGUGGUGUAGGGGUAAAAUCCGUAGAUAUCACUAGGAAUACCUAAGCGAAGGCGAUCCCCCGGAACAUUACUGACGCUAAGGCGUGAAAGCGUGGGGAGCAAACAGGAUUAGAUACCCCGGUAGUC
rnacentral:rRNA from 1 species